CCUACGGGUGGCAGCAGUGGGGAAUAUUGGGCAAUGGGCGCAAGCCUGACCCAGCAACGCCGCGUGAAGGAAGAAGGCUUUCGGGUUGUAAACUUCUUUUCUCAGGGACGAAGCAAGUGACGGUACUUGCGGAAUAAGCCACGGCUAACUACGUGCCAGCAGCCGCGGUAAUACGUAGGAGGCAAGCGUUAUCCGGAUUUACUGGGGGCAAAGGGCGUGUAGGCGGGACUGCAAGUCAGAUGUGAAAACCACGGGCUCAACCUGUGGCCUUCAUUUGAAACUGUAGUUCUUUAGUACUGGAGAGGCAGACGGAAUUCCUAGUGUAGCGGGGAAAUGCGUAGAUAUUAGGAGGCACACCAGUGGCGAAGGCGGUCUGCUGGACAGCAACUGACGCUGAGGCGCGAAAGCGUGGGGAGCAAACAGGAUUAGAUACCCGUGUAGUC
rnacentral:rRNA from 1 species